rnacentral:snoRNA from 1 species
GCUGGGUGAUGAAUGAUGAUCACCUGGUAAGUUUUCAUUGAGCCGUACUUACGGCACUGAUGAGACACGUCAUCGUGUCUGGACUUCUGACAGC